rnacentral:rRNA from 1 species
UGCGGAAGGAUCAUUACUGUGAUUUACUACUACACUGCGUGAGCGGAACGAAAACAACAACACCUAAAAUGUGGAAUAUAGCAUAUAGUCGACAAGAGAAAUCUACGAAAAACAAACAAAACUUUCAACAACGGAUCUCUUGGUUCUCGCAUCGAUGAAGAGCGCAGCGAAAUGCGAUACCUAGUGUGAAUUGCAGCCAUCGUGAAUCAUCGAGUUCUUGAACGCACAUUGCGCCCCUCGGCAUUCCGGGGGGCAUGCCUGUUUGAGCGUCGUUUCCAUCUUGCGCGUGCGCAGAGUUGGGGGAGCGGAGCGGACGACGUGUAAAGAGCGUCGGAGCUGCGACUCGCCUGAAAGGGAGCGAAGCUGGCCGAGCGAACUAGACUUUUUUCAGGGACGCUUGGCGGCCGAGAGCGAGUGUUGCGAGACAACAAAAAGCUCGACCUCAAAUCAGGUAGGAAUACCCGCUGAACUUAAGCAUAUCAAU